GACAGAGGCCCCAAGCGUUAGGCGGAAUCACUGGGCUUAAAGCAUGUGUAGGCGGACGCCUAAGUGUCUUGUGAAAUCCCACGGCUCACCCGUGGAACUGCUGGGCAUACUGGGCGUCUUGGGCCAACUAGGGGCAGCCGGAACAAGCGGUGGAGCGGUGAAAUGCGUAGAUAUCGCUUGGAACGCCGAAGGUGAAAACAGGCUGCUGGGGUUGUGCCGACGCUGAGACACGAAAGCCAGGGGAGCAAAACGGG
rnacentral:rRNA from 1 species